GAUGUGUAGGAUAGGUGGGAGGCUUUGAAGUGUGGACGCCAGUCUGCAUGGAGCCGACCUUGAAAUACCACCCUUUAAUGUUUGAUGUUCUAACGUGGACCCGUUACCCGGGUUGCGGACAGUGUCUGGUGGGUAGUUUGACUGGGGCGGUCUCCUCCUAAAGAGUAACGGAGGAGCACGAAGGUUGGCUAAUCCUGGUCGGACAUCAGGAGGUUAGUGCAAUGGCAUAAGCCAGCUUGACUGCGAGCGUGACGGCGCGAGCAGGUGCGAAAGCAGGUCAUAGUGAUCCGGUGGUUCUGAAUGGAAGGGCCAUCGCUCAACGGAUAAAAGGUACUCCGGGGAUAACAGGCUGAUACCGCCCAAGAGUUCAUAUCGACGGCGGUGUUUGGCACCUCGAUGUCGGCUCAUCACAUCCUGGGGCUGAAGUAGGUCCCAAGGGUAUGGCUGUUCGCCAUUUAAAGUGGUACGCGAGCUGGGUUUAGAACGUCGUGAGACAGUUCGGUCCCUAUCUGCCGUGGGCGCUGGAGAACUGAGGGGGGCUGCUCCUAGUACGAGAGGACCGGAGUGGACGCAUCACUGGUGUUCGGGUUGUCAUGCCAAUGGCACUGCCCGGUAGCUAAAUGCGGAAGAGAUAAGUGCUGAAAGCAUCUAAGCACGAAACUUGCCCCGA
rnacentral:rRNA from 2 species